GUUGCAUUCUGAUAAGCAGACGUUGACCUUCAGUGCAGAAUAACAUUAGAAGAAUUUAUGAGACAACACUAGGCUGUAUGAAAUCGCACUGAAAAGUGUUUAGUGAGCUAUUAAAGCAUCACAUCAUUACAAGAGACGCUUUAAACAUCUACUGACCUAAAGGUCUCGUGAGAAAUCCUUUCUUCCCGCUCAUAUCCGUGUGUUAGAGUGGAAGCAGGCGUAUGCCGGUCACCGUUCCCCUGAGGUCAGGCUACACAGAUGAAAGACUCUUCCUGGCUGUUCUGAGAACAGUGCAUCCUGGGAAAAGAGAAGAAGACAUGGGAUCUGAGGAACUUCCAGUUCCAUUCCUUCAUUCGGUUUCUUCUGCUUCCUGCUUCCUCUGCUGCGGUCGCCAUAGAAACUGCUCCUGCCGCCUCUGCUUCCAGCGGUCCUCAUGAGGUCAAAAGGUCACGACCCCGAUGAACUCGUCUGUGUAAGUGGAUCCGUCUGUGAAAACAGCGCCGAGGGGAGCUGAACUUUAGCUGGACGCACCUGUGUGAGGAGCGUUUGAUGUGGUCAGCGUGUGAGCUUUCAUCUCUCAGAGGGGACAGCGUCUCUCACAGGGCAUUAUGGGAAGGCUGCGCUCCGAGGUGGUUUCAUCUAAGUGCCGUUUGCCAAUUAACAAUGGUAAUUACCCCCGAGACGGAUGAUAAUUGCGGUGCGGGUGUCAGACAGGAGCUCCCACAGGACGGAGCGAGCCGUCUCACAGACAGACGAGCGUCUUCACUUCCUGUCACCGAGUCUCAUCUGUCUUCCAUCUUAUCUCCUUCGUUCUUAUAUUCUCUGUUUUUGUGUGUUUUAUUCCUCUUCCAUCACAGUACAGGAGUGGUGCUGCCCAAAUGUGAUGAUCUCCGUGCUGAAAUCAAAAGAAUACUGUAUAUUUUCAUCAACACUGUGGGCAAAAAGCUGAGAAAAUGACUACAUGCAGAUCAGAUUCACAUCGAUGAUCAAAAGAUGGAGUUGACUGCUUCCAUCUAAACCACUUCCUGGAUCGACAUUUCAUUCAUGAUAAUGUUAG
ensembl:lncRNA